AUGCUCAAACAUUUGCUCAGAGCAUCCAUCCACGUGUACACCUCUCACGGUGGCCAGCUGGGCACCCAUGAUAGCAUGUCCCUAUGGUCAGCACGAGCAAAGGGUCAGUGCCACGAGAAGAGAGCUGCCGACCAAGACCAGGGCACCCCCUUUCUCCUCUUCCCGUCCGAGGAAGCACCAUGCCCAGCCAGCGGAGCAGAGAAACACGCGGCCAUCGGCCCAUCACACCUGGCUUUUCUCCUCCUGCUUGGGGCUCUGGCCCGGCGGUGGCGGCUGGGCCGGCGAGGCCUGUGUCUCGCUCUCAGCACGCGGGCGCCUGGGGACAAGCGACUUGAGGGGCGCCAUCCACUUCAUCCACAGGUCCAAGUCGACGUCGCCCCAGGGCAGAGAAGGGUUCUUGGCCGCCCGCCGCCGAAAGUCCUCAUCGUAGUUCAUCCAGGACGUGCCCCCGUAGGUGGCGUGCAGCUUGCGGAUGGUGUCCAGGUACUUGAACAUGGCUCCGCAGCGCGCCGGGUGCUUCUCGCACAGCACGCUGGCGUACACCAGGAAGGCCGAGACCCACUGGUCCAGCGUGUCCCCCGGGCGCGGGCCGUGCUCGGGGGCCAGCUCUGUGUGGAGCAAGGAAAAGAGGUCAAUGAACUCCCCCCGCCAGAUCCGCUCCUUGGUGGCCUUGGCCAGCUUGUAGCCCAGCGGCCGCCGCAGCCCCACGUAGGGGGUGGCCGCCGCCUCGGCCUCGCCCUGCCCCGCCGCCGCCGCCGGAGCCGGGGCCGGGGCCGGGGCCGGGGCCGGAACCGGAGCCGGGGCCCCGGCCGCGCCGCUCGCCGCUGCCGCCUCGGCGCAGGGGCUGGCGGCCGCCGCCGCCGCCCCCAGCGCGGCCUGGCGCUCCAGCCAGCGCGGGUUCACGUAGACGGUCCGCAGGCGCGGCGCGGCCCCGGCCGCCGCCGCCCGCGCCGAGCCCUCGGCGCCGGGCUGAAGGCGCAGCACGGCCAGGGCGGCGGGCGCGCCGGCGGGAAGGUCGCUGCCAUCCCGCCGCGGGGCCGGCUGGGCCGCCGCCGGCACCUGCAGCAGCGAGGGCGCCGCCCAGGGCGGGGAGCCGCCUCUAGGCCCGGCCGCCGCCGCCAGCGCCUCUAG
rnacentral:lncRNA from 1 species